rnacentral:siRNA from 1 species
UCUAAGAGCAACCCCAUU